rnacentral:rRNA from 1 species
UACGGAGGGUGCAAGCGUUAAUCGGAAUUACUGGGCGUAAAGCGCACGUAGGUGGUUCGGUAAGUCAGCUGUGAAAUCCCCGGGCUCAACCUGGGACUUGCAUUUGUGACUGCACGGCUGGAGUGCGGCAGAGGGGGAUGGAAUUCCGCGUGUAGCAGUGAAAUGCGUAGAUAUUCGCAAGAACACCGGUGGCGAAGGCGGCUCACUGGCCCGGUACUGACGCUGAGGUGCGAAAGCGUGGGGAGCAAACAGG